rnacentral:rRNA from 1 species
AAAUAUGAAGGCGGGCUGGAACCUCUCGGGGUUACAGCCUUGCUGAAUUAUUCACCCUUGUCUUUUGCGUACUUCUUGUUUCCUUGGUGGGUUCGCCCACCACUAGGACAAACAUAAACCUUUUGUAAUUGCAAUCAGCGUCAGUAACAAAUUAAUAAUCCCAACUUUCAACAACGGAUCUCUUGGUUCUGGCAUCGAUGAAGAACGCAGCGAAAUGCGAUAAGUAGUGUGAAUUGCAGAAUUCAGUGAAUCAUCGAAUCUUUGAACGCACAUUGCGCCCUUUGGUAUUCCAAAGGGCAUGCCUGUUCGAGCGUCAUUUGUACCCUCAAGCUUUGCUUGGUGUUGGGCGUCUUGUCUCUAGCUUUGCUGGAGACUCGCCUUAAAGUAAUUGGCAGCCGGCCUACUGGUUUCGGAGCGCAGCACAAGUCGCACUCUCUAUCAGCAAAGGUCUAGCAUCCAUUAAGCCUUUUUUUUCAACUUUUGACCUCGGAUCAGGUAGGGAUACCCGCUGAACUUAAGCAUAUCAAUAAGCGGAGGAA